UCUCAGGUCCUGGCCUUCGGCGUCUCCAUCUAGUAGUGGAAAACUUCCGUUGCAUUAAAUGCCUCUCAUCCUUUGAAUUUCUCUGGCUUCUUCUGCUACCAGCUGGAUAACAUUUUCUGUUUUGAAACGGCUUCUGUGAUUAGAACAAGAUCAUUCGAACAUCUCCUUAUAACAAGGAAAGACAAUUACUGAAGUUUCCUGGAUCAUCUGUUAUGCACAAAGUUUGGAAUUAUAAAGAUUCCUGCCAUCAACUUGAGAUACAGUGAAUAUACAGCUACACAUGGAGCAAGUACCUCUAAAGGAAAUCCAGAACAAGCUGAGCGACUCCUACACAUCAGGCGAAUGAGAAAAUAAGCACAGUGAAAUGGGCAGGAAAAGCUGAGACACACUCUCACCACAAUAAGAAACACUGGACUUGAGCUACGUAUUAGACCAGAUAAUGCUAACAGACAUAUGCAGAGCAUUCUAUCCAACAGCACCAGAAUAAACAGUCUCAAGUGCACACGAAACAUAGUCCAAGAUAGAUUGUAUGUUAGGCCAUAAAACAAGUUUUAAUAAAUUUAAGAAAACUGACAUCAUGUCAAGCAUCUUUUGACAACAAUGACAUGAAACUAGAAAUGAAUUAUAAGAACAAAAUUGGACAAUCCAUCAAUAUGUGAAGAUUAUAAAACAUGCUCCUGAAUAAACAAUGGGUUAAUAAAUGAAAAGAGAAAAAAAAUCUUGAGACAAAUGAAAAUAGAAACACAAUGUGUCAAAAUGUAUGGGAUACAGCAAAAACAGUUCUAAAGAGGUAAAUUUAUAGUGAAAACCUCUUACUUUAAGAAGAAAGAUCACAAAUAAAUUACCUGAUUUUACACCUCAAGGAACUAGAAAAAGAAGAACAAAUGAAACCAGAGUUAGAAGGAAGG